GACGAACGCUGGCGGCGUGCUUAACACAUGCAAGUCGAACGGAAAGGCCCUGCUUUUGUGGGGUGCUCGAGUGGCGAACGGGUGAGUAACACGUGAGUAACCUGCCCUUGACUUUGGGAUAACUUCAGGAAACUGGGGCUAAUACCGGAUAGGAGCUCCUGCUUCAUGGUGGGGGUUGGAAAGUUUCGGCUGUUGGGGAUGGACUCGCGGCUUAUCAGCUUGUUGGUGGGGUAGUGGCUUACCAAGGCUUUGACGGGUAGCCGGCCUGAGAGGGUGACCGGCCACCUUGGGCCUGAGAUACGGCGCAGACUCCUACGGGAGGCAGCAGUGGGGAAUAUUGCACAAUGGGCGGAAGCCUGAUGCAGCAACGCCGCGUGCGGGAUGACGGCCUUCGGGUUGUAAACCGCUUUCGCCUGUGACGAAGCGUGAGUGACGGUAAUGGGUAAAGAAGCAACGGCUAACUACGUG
rnacentral:rRNA from 1 species